AACGGGUAAGGGAUCGCCACUCCCCCGCAUUCCCGAGUGCAGUUGCCCAGCGGCACCAACGCUCCAACGCUGCCGGCGAGGUCGAACGCCGGCUGGAGCGCUAUGACGAACACGACUGCAGCAGCUGCUGCUAAGAUACAUGCACAUAUUCGUUUCAGAAAGAGGCUUCCCAUCAAUCAAUACGGUAAGGUCAGAGUUUGGACUGGUUCGUCCUGGUAAAUUUCUUUGCAUAUUCGUGUUUCCUACCAAGAAAAAUAGACACUGGGUCAGGGUGACUUAUUCCAUUCAGCAGUGCUACUCGUGACUUGUUUAAUGGGUCACUUGCAUCAAGUGUAACCGGCAACGAGUAUGUCUAUUUUAAGUGGGACCGAACGUAGUUAGCUUUUUCUAACAGUGUGGAGGAUGUGUAUGCUGUGGUUAGUUCGUUAAUAGGAUCUCUAAGGG